rnacentral:rRNA from 1 species
AGACAGCAGUAGCCGCGGUAAUACGUAGGGUGCGAGCGUUAAUCGGAAUUACUGGGCGUAUAGCGUGCGCAGGCGGUUGUGUAAGACAGGUGUGAAAUCCCCGGGCUUAACCUGGGAACUGCGCUUGUGACUGCACAGCUAGAGUAUGGCAGAGGGGGGUGGAAUUCCACGUGUAGCAGUGAAAUGCGUAGAGAUGUGGAGGAACACCGAUGGCGAAGGCAGCCCCCUGGGCCAAUACUGACGCUCAUGCACGAAAGCGUGGGGAGCAAACAGGAUUAGAUACCCCUGUAGUCCCUGUCUCUUAUAC